UAGGGAAUCUUCGGCAAUGGACGGAAGUCUGACCGAGCAACGCCGCGUGAGUGAAGAAGGUUUUCGGAUCGUAAUGCUCUGUUGUUAGAGAAGAACGUUGGUAGGAGUGGAAAAUCUACCAAGUGACGGUAACUAACCAGAAAGGUACGGCUAACUACGUGCCAGCAGCCGCGGUAAUACGUAGGUCCCAAGCGUUGUCCGGAUUUAUUGGGCGUAAUGCGAGCGCAGGCGGUUCUUUAAGUCUGAAGUUAAAGGCAGUGGCUUAACCAUUGUACGCUUUGGAAACUGGAGGACUUGGGUGCCGGAGGGGAGAGUGGAAAUCCAGGUGUAGCGGUGAAAUGCGUAGAUAGAUGGAGGAACACAGGUGGCGAAAGCGGCUCUCUGGUCAGUAACUAACGCAGAGGCUCGAAAGCGUGGGGAGCAAACAGG
rnacentral:rRNA from 1 species